CCUACGGGUGACAGCAGUGGGGAAUAUUGGACAAUGGGCGAAAGCCUGAUCCAGCCAUGCCGCGUGUGUGAAGAAGGCCUUCGGGUUGUAAAGCACUUUCAGUGGGGAAGAAAGCCUUGGGGCUAAUACCCUCGAGGAAGGACAUCACCCACAGAAGAAGCACCGGCUAACUCCGUGCCAGCAGCCGCGGUAAUACGGAGGGUGCGAGCGUUAAUCGGAAUUACUGGGCGUAAAGCGCGCGUAGGCGGUCUGAUAAGCCGGUUGUGAAAGCCCCGGGCUCAACCUGGGAACGGCAUCCGGAACUGUCAGGCUAGAGUGCAGGAGAGGAAGGUAGAAUUCCCGGUGUAGCGGUGAAAUGCGUAGAGAUCGGGAGGAAUACCAGUGGCGAAGGCGGCCUUCUGGACUGACACUGACGCUGAGGUGCGAAAGCAUGGGUAGCAAACAGGAUUAGAUACCCCUGUAGUC
rnacentral:rRNA from 1 species